rnacentral:rRNA from 1 species
UACGUAGGGCGCGAGCGUUGUCCGGAUUUAUUGGGCGUAAAGGGCUUGUAGGCGGCUUGUCGCGUCGGAUGUGAAAACCCGUGGCUCAACUGCGGGCCUGCAUUCGAUACGGGCUGGCUAGAGUACGGCAGGGGAGACUGGAAUUCCUGGUGUAGCGGUGGAAUGCGCAGAUAUCAGGAGGAACACCGGUGGCGAAGGCGGGUCUCUGGGCCGUUACUGACGCUGAGGAGCGAAAGCGUGGGGAGCGAACAGG